AUCCUAUCUUCGGAUAGUGGAGACGGCGGACGGGUGAGUAACGCGUGGGAACCUACCCUUUGGUUCGGAAUAACUUUGGGAAACUGAAGCUAAUACCGGAUACGCCCCGUAAGGGGGAAAGAUUUAUUGCCGAAGGAGGGGCCCGCGUUGGAUUAGGUAGUUGGUAGGGUAAUGGCCUACCAAGCCGACGAUCCAUAGCUGUUCUGAGAGGAAGAUCAGCCACCUGGGACUGAGACCCGGCCCAGACUCCUACGGGAGGCAGCAGUGGGGAAUCUUGGACAAUGGGCGCAAGCCUGAUCCAGCCAUGCCGCGUGUGUGAAGAAGGCCUUAUGGUUGUAAAGCACUUUAAGCGAGGAGGAGGCUACUCUAGUUAAUACCUAGGGAUAGGGACGUUA
rnacentral:rRNA from 1 species